rnacentral:lncRNA from 1 species
UGUUUAUUUUUUCAAAAACUGUAAUAAUCAGAUGAAAAUUUUAAAAGUGAUUUUUUUUCCAAAUAAAUUAUUUAAAAAAAGGUAGCAAACGGGCUCUUAUUUAAGUCAUUUUUAUCUAAACUUAAAUAGGUAUUUAUACAUUGAACCAUCAACCUGUGCAUGACAUAGAAGUAGGUAACCAUUUUACAACCUUCCACCAACAUAAACACUCCUCCUAAAAUAACAUGUAUGCCUUACUACUUAGUAAAACAUGUUCACAAUUUGUUUCUCCAAGGUUGUCCUAGCCCUUCUCAUUUCGGAGUGAAAGCCUGUGGUAGUACCAGUAACAGAUAAAAUCAGCUCAAACAAUCCCAAAAUAAUAAUAUCUUUUCAAAAAUAUAUUAAAAUGUUCAAAAAGUUAGAAGAACAAACACGUACAAAUUUUUAUCUUUAAAGUAUGACUAAGGAUUGUCGUAAGUAUGACUCAUAAUCUUGUAAACUAGCCUGAACUAUUUAAACACAAAUUGUACGUCGUAAACACUAAACUUGAAUCAUAAUAUAGAAAGGUGCCGCAGCCCUCUAAAAGUCAGAGACAUAGACACAAUUAGCCAAACCACAUGAAAAAACAUUGUAUGUUUUCUAUGUUCUCUGUUUGCAUAUUUUAUACCUAUUUUCAUUUGAACUAGAGUUGUUGUGUUUUAACAUAUUGUUCCAAUCAGGAAUCAAACUGGAGUACUACUCGAACGAUUUGAUCAUAACUGAAGUGCAUCAACCACUUGCGUCCAGAAUAAUGAUAAUAUAGUGAAAAACAUAUGCAAUCUAGAAGAAGUAGGUGGAGUUGAUGAAACUUACAGCAAAAAUAGUAGCAUGUCCAGGAUCAGCAAGGUGAGCAAAGAGGUUAUCAAUAGGACCAGUGCCUGUGUAUAUAUGCUGGAACCAAGCUCCCAUCACAGCCAACAUAGCCAAUCUUCCAUUCUUAAUUUCCUUUGUUCUCAACUCCUUA